rnacentral:rRNA from 1 species
GAUGAACGCUGGCGGCGUGCCUAACACAUGCAAGUCGAGCGGAUAGACGGAGCUUUCGCCUGGCUUCCGCGAGGGGCGGGUGAGUGAUUCACACGAGUAUCCCUUGCAUGGAGGUCUGACAUCCUGACGCGAGCGCGGAUACCACAUCCGUCCAGAUGGUGAACCUCGGGGGUCUUUGGACAUCACCCGAUCAGCUGACCCUAGGUCGGGUUAGCUAGUUGGUUGGGUAAGGGCCUACCAAGGCGGCGAUCCGAAGCUAGUCUGAGAGGAUGAUCAGUCACACUGGAACUGAGACACGGUCCAGACUCCUACGGGAGGCAGCAGUGGGGAAUAUGGGGCAAUGGGCGAAAGCCUGACCCAGCGAGGCCGCGUGUGUGACGAAGGUCUUCGGAUCGUAAAGCACUUUUAGUUGGGAGGAACGGCAGUGAGUUAAGACAUUGCUGUUUUGACGUUACCAACAGAAUAAGCACCGGCUAACUACGUG